GAUCCUGGCUCAGGACGAACGCUGGCGGCGUGCUUAACACAUGCAAGUCGAACGAAGAGCGAUGGAAGCUUGCUUCUAUCAAUCUUAGUGGCGAACGGGUGAGUAACGCGUAAUCAACCUGCCCUUCAGAGGGGGACGAACAGUUGGAAACGACUGCUAAUACCGCAUACGAUUCAAUCUCGGCAUCGAGACUGGAUGAAAGGUGGCCUCUAUUUAUAAGCUAUCACUGAAGGG
rnacentral:rRNA from 1 species